UGUCAGUUUGGCCGCGGGGAUUGGGCAGCAUUUUGUUCCUAACCCAUUGCCCGGUCGGCUUCAUACUCUGAUUGAUUGAGUUCUUGCCUGAGGCUUGGCCGCCCAUGCGCAGGGCUGUGUGUCGUGGCCCUCGCCGUCUCGGCGGCCGCAGUCGAAGAUUCGUCUGCGAAGGGGAGCGUGCACAGGCAUGUAACCGAGGAAGUCAUGAGCAUUCUGGAUAUGGUUAUCUACUUUUGUUUAAUUCUACCGCAUUUGUAUCUUUCCAUUGAACUUCCGUCAGAGUCCAGAUCGACGUGAAUGAAACAGUUCUAUUGAGUGUCCCGUUUACUGAGGUUAGGUGGUUGAUGAUAGUACGGAUACUUGGCCUGUCAACGAACUGUGCCUCCAUGGAAUUUGAGACUUCUUCCCACUAUUCCUGAGGUUCAGGUUGUGUUAAAAUAGACUGAUGCUUCAUACCUGCUUUUGUAGAGAAAUGAGCGAAACAUUAAGCUUGUUGCAGGGAUUAACGACUACUCAAUACUCUAUUCAACGGCUACUGAGGCGGCGAAUCUUUUCAGAUUAUCCGACCAGCCGAGGCCUGGCGUAGCGCUGCCUUAAAAAAACACAUUUUAUAAGAAAAUAGUAAUUUUAGAUGUGUUCAGUUUUUUCAGUUUUUCCUAUUUCUACAAGCCAGCGGGGGCGCGCAUGUUCUUCCACUUGGGUUGGUAUCUCCCUCCUCCUAUCCAUUAGCUCCCUCCAUUGUUGUACCUUGGUUCAUGAUGCCGCACCGUAUGUCUGUAUCUUUUGAACUGAGCAGCGUCGGAACAAUCUCUGUCAGGCAUCGGAUCCUCUGAACUUGUAAGCAAUCCAUGUACAGCUGCUCAUUUCGUGUUAUUGUUUUACAUGAUUUUGCAUGCGUCUACUAUUUGUCUCCGGCUGUCAGAAUUAAUUUUCCCUUUACUCUGCCCUCGGUUGCAGCAUGAGCAAACAAUUGAUGUUCAGUUACUUAGUUCGGC
rnacentral:lncRNA from 1 species